rnacentral:rRNA from 1 species
AUACGUAGGGUGCGAGCGUUGUCCGGAAUUACUGGGCGUAAAGAGCUCGUAGGUGGUUUGUCGCGUCGUCUGUGAAAUUCCGGGGCUUAACUCCGGGCGUGCAGGCGAUACGGGCAUAACUUGAGUACUGUAGGGGAGACUGGAAUUCCUGGUGUAGCGGUGAAAUGCGCAGAUAUCAGGAGGAACACCGGUGGCGUAGGCGGUUCUCUGAGCAGUAACUGCCGUGGAGUAGCGAAUGCAUGGGUACCGAGCAGGAUUGGAUACCCUGGUAGACCAUGCCGUAACCGGUGGGCGCUAGGUGUAGGGGUCUUCCACGACUUCUGUGCCGUAGCUACCGCAUUAAGCGCCCCGCCUGGGGAGUUCGGCCGCAAGGCUAAAACUCAAAUGAAUUGACGGGG